rnacentral:tRNA from 2 species
UGGGCCCGUAGCAUAGCCAGGUGGUGCGCCCGGCUGAUAACCGGGAGGUCAUGUGUUCGAAUCACAUCGGGCCCAU